CACAAGGUUCCCUAUAAGAAGACAGGAGGGUCAAAGUGACGAGUAGGUGAUGUCAUAAUAGAAGCAGAAAUUGGAGUGAUACACUUUGAAAAUGGUGAGGGCGCCAUGAACCAAGGAAUACAGGUGGUCACUAGAAGCUGAAGGAGGUGAGGCCAUUGGUUCUCCCCUGGGGCCUCCAGAAGGGACCAGCCCAGUCAACUCUGACUUCAGCUGAGUGAGACUGAUUUUGGACUUCUGACCUCCAGGACUGUGAGAGAAUAAAUGCGUGUUGCUUUAAGCCACUCAGUUUGUGGUAACUUGUCACAGCAGCAGUAGGAAACUCAUACAGUCAGUUAUUGCUAAGGGACCAACCAUCCCAACGCUGCCGUCUCAUUCCUGGACCUAGGGGUUGCCUGGGGCAACCCUACUUCAGAUUAUAGGUUGGUUUUGAGUCUCUCCACCAGCUGCAUUCUGGGACAAUGGCUACUGGGGGUGUGCGCUUUUCAUGGCAGUGACAAAAAUGGGAGAGAAGACUAGCAGACACUUGCCAUGCCUGUUACCAUUUCAGCUCUGAGACACCCACUUCCACCCACCUUCCAUUGCCCAAAGCCGUACAAAAAGAGCCGUGGACCGGAUUUGACCCAGGGCUGUGGUUUGCUGAUCCAGGGGUCUACAUGGCUGCCAAAAUGGACACUCUGAAAUACAGAUCUGAUCUUGUCACUCCUCUCCCAGGAACUCGUCUCUAUGGCUCCCCAUUACCCACGGGAUGAAGAACUAAUUCUUUGGCUCUUAUUCAUGAUCUUGCAUGCUCUCUCCUCAGCUUGUCUUUCCAGUCUCAUGUCCUUCCAUCUCUCUCCAUGCUACAACCACAAAGAUGAAUAUUCAUAUCCACUGAUACUUCCCUUUGAUUUGAUUUCUGUUGUACCCUCUGCCUUCAGUAUUCUGGAAACUUCUUACUCAUCUCUCAAACUCUCACUCAGGUGUCCUUUUCUUCUGUGGAAUCCUCCCCAGUCUCCCCAGGAGAAUGGAUUGCCGCUAUGGCACACAGAUGACCAGCUUCGACCAGAGCCUGCAGCUGGACUCCUACUGUGUGCCAGACAUUUAAUCCUUUUAAGCCUCACAACAACUUCGUGCAACAGAAGGGAUGGCCCUUGUGUGAAGGAUGAGGGAACCGAGGCUUGGAGAAGUUACACGACGUGCCUAAGGCCCUUGUCUUUCGGAUGGCACCUUCACUUCAGACCGUCUGCCCCCAGGAGGCUUGACGAUCACUGAGAGCCACUGCUCAGAAAGGAAGAUCAUUCUUCAGGAGGUGGGAGACCUGGGAUCUAGAUGUCUCUCUACCAACCCACCUUUGACAAGCCCCUUCACCUUGCCGGGCCUCAGUUUCCCUGUUCUGUUUGGAGAACAACAGUGCCUGCCCCAUCCUGCCUCACAGAUUGCUACAAGGCUCAAUGCGGGGAAGGGCUUUGUGAAAUGCCAGCUCAGUCUGUUCCAGUUGAUUCUUACGUGAGUGAAUUCCGCAAUGACUGGGUACAGACUCUGCGCAAGUGUCACGCUAGGCUCUGGGGCCCAAAGAUGGCAGGACCUACUCUCUGCCCCCACAAGCUCACGGUCUAUUCAUGUUUCUAGAAGUGGACUUUGAUUCUGUACACUGUUCCUGCCCGUGAGGCAGAUAGUCUGCUGGCCGGUGGUGUUCUGGUGAUGGAGUUCUUUCCGUGCUAGCCUCCCUUCCUCCCCUGUGCUCUCCCCCUCCCCCACCACACUGCUUGCUCUGCAGGAAGGUGGAGCAGGAGGGCCCUCCACGCACCCUCUUAUCCGCGUGGCAGUUGAGGCCAGUGAAGCUCAGAGGACUGAAUGGCUCACCAGGACCCUGAGCAAGAUGACGGCUGCUGGGAGGCAGGUCUCCUGCCUGCUUUUUUUUCCCUUAACGUCUUACCAAGAUUUAAUGUACAUUUAUUCUUAACACAUGGGACAUACAGUAUAAAGAUUUCAUACUGAAUAAAUGAUAUUCAUUAAGCCAAAGAAGGAAAAAAAGGAGGAAUUUGCUUUGUUUGG
rnacentral:lncRNA from 1 species